rnacentral:rRNA from 1 species
GACGAACGCUGGCGGCGUGCCUAAUACAUGCAAGUAGAACGCUGAAGAGAGGAGCUUGCUCUUCUUGGAUGAGUUGCGAACGGGUGAGUAACGCGUAGGUAACCUGCCUUGUAGCGGGGGAUAACUAUUGGAAACGAUAGCUAAUACCGCAUAACAAUGGAUGACACAUGUCAUUUAUUUGAAAGGGGCAAUUGCUCCACUACAAGAUGGACCUGCGUUGUAUUAGCUAGUAGGUGAGGUAACGGCUCACCUAGGCGACGAUACAUAGCCGACCUGAGAGGGUGAUCGGCCACACUGGGACUGAGACACGGCCCAGACUCCUACGGGAGGCAACAGUAGGGAAUCUUCGGCAAUGGGGGCAACCCUGACCGAGCAACGCCGCGUGAGUGAAGAAGGUUUUCGGAUCGUAAAGCUCUGUUGUAAGUCAAGAACGAGUGUGAGAGUGGAAAGUUCACACUGUGACGGUAGCUUACCAGAAAGGGACGGCUAACUACGUG